UAUUAAGGAAAAUGAAAUGAGUAAUAUUAGUUGCAUUUUUUUGUUUGUCUUAGCUAGGUUGUUCAGUGGUACUUUCACUUGUGUGUUAGAGACAGAGAUUUGACAUAUUUGUACGCGAAAGAAGGAGCAAUUCUGGGAUUGGGCCUCUUUUCUUUUAGCCUGUUUUGUCAGAUACUAAAACUGUAAAAGUCACUCUAGUCAUCUUGUGGCAUCUGAUGUCUUUCCGGGAGUGGCCUGGCUGUUUAUAUGAUUCUCGGAACAGUCAGAUGAGUGAACUGACGAUUUUUCCUUUUGCAAAAUUCCUUUUUCUACAGUGUCUGUGCUGAAAACAAUCCCAGGCACCCCUGAAAAAACCGCCAACUAAAACUGCUGAUUGUAAGAUGGAGAAAUACCCAUUCUUGCUCUGAGCACAGGAUUCAUGGUCAGUGUGGGACCCUGCCAACGCUCAGUCGUGCCGUCCCCCGUGAUACUAGUCGCACAGAGGGCUUCCCUAUCGGCACAGAAGUGACAUACAGGUGCCUUGAUGACUUUGUUAAAAUCCCUGGAAAGUUAGACCGUGUUGUUUGCCUUUCAAACUCAGAGUGGUCAACCAUUGGAGAGUUUUGUAAUGG